GAUGAAGAACGUAUCGAAAUGCGAUACUUGGUGUGAAUUGCAGAAUCCCGUGAACCAUCGAGUCUUUGAACGCAAGUUGCGCCCGAAGCCAUUAGGCCGAGGGCACGCCUGCCUGGGCGUCACACGUCGUUGCCCCCCCAUCUACUCCUUCGGGAUUGCGGGGGGCGGAUGAUGGCCUCCCGUGCGCCUCGUCGUGCGGUUGGCAUAAAUGCCAAGUCCUCGGCGACGCACGCCACGACAAUCGGUGGUUGCGAAACCUCGGUUGCCCGUCGUGUGCGGUCGUCGCGCAUCGAGGGCUCGAAAAAAUUGCCGGGCCCUGUUUCGGCUUUCAACGCGACCCCAGGUCAGGCGGGGUUACCCGCUGAAUUUAAGCAUAUCAAUAAGCGGAGGA
rnacentral:misc_RNA from 1 species